GAUGAACGUUUGUAGUUGGCUUAACACAUGCAAAUUAAAUAAACUUGUUUUAUCUCAAGUUAAUAGUGAACGGGUGAGUAAUUUAUAGAAAUUAAUCUCAAAGAAUUGUUUAAUUCAUGAAAAAAAUUAUUUGCUUUGAGGAAAGUCUAUAAAGGAUUAGGUUAUUGGUUACAUUAAAAUUAUUACCAAGCCUACGAUCCUUAGUUGGUCUUUGAGGAUGAACAACCACAUUGGAAUUGAGAAAUGGUCCAAACUUUAUUUGAAGGCAGCAGUGGGGAAUUUUGGGCAAUGAGCGAAAGCUUGACCCAGCUAAACUACAUGUGUAAUGAAAGUACAUAAUUUUAAAACACUUUAUUAAAUUGAACAUUGAUUUAUUUAUGAAAAGUCCUGGCUAAUUUCGUGCCAGCGCCGCCGU
rnacentral:rRNA from 1 species